UGAUGGUGAUAAGGAUAAUUUCUGAGCAUGCCCUUGAAUCUCACCCAAGAUUGGUAAAGAUUUUCUCCAUCUUUCUGUUUGAAACUCAAUAUCUCACUCCUCAAUCA
rfam:Capsicum annuum cultivar Zunla-1 chromosome 2, whole genome shotgun sequence